UAAAGAUGUCGCCAGUUCUCACUGU
rnacentral:piRNA from 1 species